AUUGAACGCUGGCGGCAUGCCUUACACAUGCAAGUCGAACGGCAGCACGGGUGCUUGCACCUGGUGGCGAGUGGCGAACGGGUGAGUAAUACAUCGGAACAUGUCCUGUAGUGGGGGAUAGCCCGGCGAAAGCCGGAUUAAUACCGCAUACGAUCUACGGAUGAAAGCGGGGGACCUUCGGGCCUCGCGCUAUAGGGUUGGCCGAUGGCUGAUUAGCUAGUUGGUGGGGUAAAGGCCUACCAAGGCGACGAUCAGUAGCUGGUCUGAGAGGACGACCAGCCACACUGGGACUGAGACACGGCACAGACUCCUACGGGAGGCAGCAGUGGGGAAUUUUGGACAAUGGGCGAAAGCCUGAUCCAGCAAUGCCGCGUGUGUGAAGAAGGCCUUCGGGUUGUGAAGCACUUUUGUCCGGAAAGAAAUCCUUGGCCCUAAUACGGUCGGGGGAUGACGGUACCGGAAGAAUAAGCACCGGCUAACUACGUG
rnacentral:rRNA from 1 species